GGGAUGUACGGGCCGGCGCAUGCGCAUUAAAUGCUCUGCUGCCUCAGUUUAUUACUAUAGACACGAUCAGAGCCGAGAUGACUUCUAGGUAUAGAGGAAAGCUAACAGUGUCCUCUUCUCCCCAGGACCUACCUUCUCAAAGGUGCUGCAGGGACCCACAUAUUCAAUCAUCUGGUAGCAUCUUGCGGCUGUGUGAGUAGGUAAUAUUUGAAUGUAUCCGUACUGUGGGCCCCCAAAAUAAAUUUUACUGGUGGGCCCUAGGCACCCCAAUCCGACACUGGUUCCAGAACCUAUCUGUCUGGUUCCUACCUGUAUAUUCGACCUCAGGCUAAUAAUUUUUUUAUUAUUUGGUACAAUUUGAACCCAAAUUUUGAACAUGUCUCUAAUCAGAUGAUUUUUGUGCUAAUAUUUAAAGGAGUAUUCCAAUGCAAGCAAAAAGCUGUACCAGGGGCUGCAAAAAGUAACAGAACAGUACCCACCUUACGCUAGUUUCACACUAGUGUUAGACAUUUCCGGCCGGCUGUUCUGGCAGGGAGCAGCCUGCCGGAGAUAUCUGGACACCUGCCAGUCCCAUUCACUAUAAUGGGAACCAGCAGAGAUCCGUCCGCAACCCAGCAAAUAUGCUGAGGACCAGAUGGUUGAAAAACGCUGCGCACAACGUUUUUAAUCUGCCCCAUUUUUGCCGGGUUGCAGCCAGAUCUCCUCCAGUCCCCUUUAUAGCAAAUUGGGAAGCCAGUGGUGCGGUGGUUUCCGGCAAUGCCAGAAUGCAGAGAGAUCCGGCAGGCUGUUCCUUGCCAGAACAUCCUGCCGGAUAUAAAAACGCUAGUGUAAAAAAUAAAAGAUAAAAAUAAAAACUGCUGCUGCAGUUCUGGUGGUGCCUGAUUCCCACUGCACCCACCUUCCUGCUACUGUCCUUGCAUACCAGAAAACAGCUGUGAAUCAGGAGUGGACUGGCCAUAGACCCUACAGGGAAUGUUCCUGGUGAGCCGAUGUCCAUAGGGUCACCCAAGCUCUCCUCACUGCUGCUGGCCGGAUACAUACUACUAGGGACACUAUCACAGGAAGUCCAGGCAGCAUGGUGAAGGUAGUGCUGUUUUCAUGUUGUGGCCUACAUCUCACCUUCCAACCCCCCUACUCCAUAUUAGAGACAGAACGUGACAGCUAUUGAUGGCCACCACAGAGGGACAGCUUAUGGAGGUAUUUUGUGCUGCACUGUGGUAUGUAGUUCUCUGGGAUGGUAUUCUGUACUGCACUAUGGUAUUAUUGACCCUGCCAACUUGUACUGGCCUCAUCUACUUGUGGUGCUUGUCUUCUGUCAAUUUGGACCCAUCUACAACAUUGGGGCCACUUUAAAGUUUUUUUCAGGGCAACUUUAAGUCCUAUUUCCGCCCCUGCUGUGAAUGCUGCCAUCACCAGCCUCAGCCAGCAACUGGAUCUUUCACCCAAUGAGCCAUAAGUGUCCCUCUUUGACCUUCCUAAAUUUGGGUGAUAUGGGAACAUCAUUCAUACUGAACACAGAGUACUUUCCCCAGAACGAUGAUAAUAGCUUAAUAGAGAUUUGAAUGAUGUUCAAUCGAAAAAGGUAUACCGAUGGAGACGCAGAGAUCCACCGGCUAUACUUAGUUGGACAUUGUCCAUCUCCUCACUGUCAAUGGCAAGUGAUACUAAUAGCCAAACUAGUGGUCAGAACAUUCAAGGGAUGAUCACUCGAUGGAGAGAAAAAAAAAAAAAGGAGAUGGGAGCAUAGAGGACAACCUAAUAAGAAGAGGCAGGAUGGGAGAAGUGAUGGCUACCAAGAAAAUACCUAAAUAUCUAAAGGUAAUAAAUUUAUCUGAACAUCACCUUUCUGAUAUAGACAUUUCGGUUUUACAGAAGGGCCUUACCUUUUCACCUUAUACCCCAUUUAAUGUCUUUGUAGCAGUAAAAGACCUUUACCCAACUGAGGAGGGAGAUUUUAAUACACCUACCGAAAAAGAGACUUUGAUGAUCUUAGAAGGGCUACUACAGGAGCAAUAUACAGGUGAUUCAGACAAUCAGAGGAAUCCCAACAGGCCAAUUCAUUAGAAUUAGAUGGAUUUGCUCCAGUGAUGAAGACUUCGAACAUCAGGCCUGAUAUCAUGAAACAACGCUUUCUUGAAAGAGGAUACAGUAAGAGAUCUAUAAAGAGGGCAUACAAUCAUACAAUAGAGCCAAGAAUAUAUCACGUGCUACUCUGGUCCAUCCAAGACCAAAGAAGGACUUAAAAGACACGGUGAGAUAUAUUACUAAUUAUCACACACAGUGGGAUAAUAUGCGCUCCCUGUUGGAAAGAUUCUAGCCUAUUUUAAUGGCAGACCCCAUUUUAGCCAAAUAUCUGACCUCCUAUCCAGCUAUUGUAGCUGGGAGAUCAAGAAAUCUUAGGGACCAUUUGGUCAAAUCAUAUAAUCACCCAAAAAAAGGUGCUGAAUUCUUUGGAUCAAAGGGACCGAAAUGGGGAUGUAUCCCCUGUGGCAAAUGUGUUGCGCGUCCGAACAUAAUACGAGCUACGGAUUUUAUCGAUU